rnacentral:lncRNA from 1 species
AACCAAAAACAGUGCUCCUUCUUCUUCUUGUUUCAAGAGUUCUAGCCUCUAGAACUUGACUAGCUCUGUACUGGUCAGAUUUCUUCAAGAACCUGACUCAACCCUCUUAGACCUUCCUCUGAACUUCUGAUUCUCCUUCUUUAAGACUCUCACAAUCCUUAUUUGGAUUAGAUAAGGCUUUGUCUUAAAUCCCAAAGCCUUGUCCUAAAACUAAGAUAGGUUGUAAGAA